rnacentral:rRNA from 1 species
UACGAAGGGGGCUAGCGUUGUUCGGAAUUACUGGGCGUAAAGGGCGUGUAGGCGGUCCGCUAAGACAGGUGUGAAAUUCCUGGGCUCAACCCAGGACGUGCGCCUGUGACUGACGGACUUGAGUCCGGGAGAGGAUGGUGGAACUCCCAGUGUAGAGGUGAAAUGCGCAGAUAUCAGGAAGAACACCCGUGGCGAAAGCGGCUCUCUGGAACGGUACUGACGCUGAGACGCGAAAGCGUGGGGAGCGAACAGG